UAGAAAGUUGCUCUAUUGCUUAGUGCCUA
rnacentral:piRNA from 1 species